rnacentral:lncRNA from 1 species
UACAAUUUGAGCUCUCUCAAAACAUUGAGGAUUACAAAUUGUCCAAAACUCGAGGAAAUGUUAGAGAUUGAAUUAGGGGUUGAUUGGCCACUUCCACCUACAACCAGUCACAUUUCAAAUUCAGCAAUAAUCUGGUAUGAUGGCUGCUUUUCCUCAUUAGAAGCAUUAAAACAAAAGUGCCCCCUGUCAUCACUGGUAGAAUUAUCUGUAAGAAAGUUUUAUGGCAUGGAAAAAGACAUCCUCAGUGGCAGUUUCCACCUAUCCUCAUUGAAAAUAUUAUCUCUAGGGAACUUCCCUAGCAUGGCAGGAGGAAUCCUCGAUAAGAUUUUCCAUCUAUCUUCAUUGGUAAAAUUAUCUCUUACUAAAUGCAAGCCAACGGAAGAAGGAAUCCCCAGUGAUAUUCGGAACCUAUCUCCACUGCAACAAUUAUCUCUACAUGACUGCAAUCUAAUGGAAGGAAAGAUCCUCAAUCAUAUUUGCCAUCUAACAUCCUUGGAAGAAUUACAUCUGGGUUGGAACCAUUUUAGUAGCAUUCCUGCUGGCAUCAGUCGACUUUCCAAUCUAAAAGCCCUUGACUUGAGUCACUGCAAGAACCUUCAACAAAUUCCAGAGCUUCCAUCAAGUCUACGAUUUUUAGAUGCGCACUGUUCGGAUCGUAUUUCAUCAAGCCCCUCGCUUCUACCUAUUCAUUCUAUGGUCAAUUGCUUCAAAUCAGAAAUUGAGGUAUGAUUCUCAUGCCACGUUCCUUUUUCUUUCGUACCCAUUGGAUUUACAUGGUGCUUUUGUGCAGGACUGCGUGGUUAUUCAUCGUUAUUCUUCCUUCUGGGGCAAUGGAAUUGGUAUUGUUAUUCCUAGAAGUAGUGGAAUUCUAGAGUGGAUAACGUAUCGGAAUAUGGGAGGGCAUAAAGUAACAAUAGAGCUCCCUCCGAAUUGGUAUGAAAAUGAUGACUUGUGGGGAUUUGCUUUAUGCUGUGUUUAUGUUGCACCUGCCUGUGAAUCUGAGGAUGAAUCUCAGUAUGAAUCAGGUCUUAUAUCUGAGGAUGACAGUGACCUUGAAGAUGAAGAAGCAAGCUUUUAUUGUGAAUUGACAAUCGAAGGAAAUAAUCAAUCAGAAGACGUGGCUGGUUUCGUUCUUGAUUUUCGCUGUGUUAAGGAUGAUGUAUCAGAUAUGCAGUGGGUGAUAUGUUAUCCCAAGUUAGCUAUUGAGAAAAGUUAUCACACCAAUCAAUGGACACACUUCAAGGCUUCAUUUGGUGGGGCCCAAGUGGCAGAGUGCGGAAUCCGUCUGGUAUACACAAAAGAUUAUGAACAGAAACAUCCAACAAUGGCACAAGGCAGUACUUCUCAUGGGAAUUUUGGUGAGCAUGGAUCAGUAAGAGAAGAUGGCAGUACUUCUCAUGGGAAGUUUGGUGACCAUAGAUUAGUAAGAGAAGCUUUACUACUCUAAAGAUACUAAUAGUAAAGAUCACAAUAAAAGGAAUCCCACAGAACAGAGCCCAGGAGAGGAGUCACGUACACCAUAAAAGAUUCAGAGAAACCCAAGACUGAUCCCAAGCAUUAGGCUCAACCACACUUGCAUCAAUAAUGUUCUCUUCCUGGUAAUUCAUCUUCUUUUCUCUUUCAAAUUCAAAGGUCAGAAAUUUUUUUAUCAUGUUUCUCCUUUUUAUUUGUUUUUUCCCCAAGACAAACAAAAAUUUGUGGCUAUCAUCCAUGGGUGCAAACUUCAAUGGUACACCUCCCAAGUUUGUUUUUCUCUCUCUCCAACCGUCUCUCCCUAGAUUUUUCUGCAUUUUCUUCAAACUCAUAUUUCUAUAUGAAAUUCAAUUACAUUCGAGCAUUUCAAUCUCUGUAGCUAAUGUCUGAAUCAUUUCUAGGGUUUCUUUUUUCUGGAAGUUUGUAAUGUUAUUGAUUUAUGACUUGAUGUUUGGGGAUGUUUUGGGUGGCUUGUUCACUUUUUUAUAGCGAUGAUUUAUGGAACCAGAGUUUCUUAGCAGGAAAUGGAACUCGUGUGUUUUAGAAUAUUGGCGUUAUUUGCUUGUGCCCUGUUUGGUUGCUGAGAAAGAGUGGAAGGAGGAUGGAGAAUUAAAUAAUUUUCAAUCUAAGCAAUGAGAAAUUAGAUUUGGGUAUUUGGGCCAUUGGAGUUAUUUGCUCUUACUCAGUUUGGUUUCCAGGAAACUGCAGGCAAAGCAUGGAAAAUAAAGUAUUUUUAAAUUAAUUACCAGGAAAUGGAAUGUACGUAUUUGUCUCUUUGGAAUAUAAACAUCAGUAUUCACUCUUCAAGAAUGUAUAUGGUUGUUGUUUUGGAAUUUUGAAAUUACUUAGCAUCAGACAAUUUCUAACUUGGGAUUUGGAUUGGGAAUCAUAAGUAAUCAUUAGAGAGUAUAUGAGAAGGAGUUUUAGAGUAAGACAGGGUGAUGCAUGUUGAGGGAUGCGUCUCACCCUGGAGUUCUUUGGAAUAAUUAUAGGAUUUUGUAAGUAACUUUGGACUUAUUAGCAAUGUUCUGGAUUUGUGAAUAAUUUAUAGAAUACAUUGGGUGUUUUUUUUUUUUUUUUUUUUUGAGAGUGAAUAAUGUAUGACUGUACUCUUCUCUAUCUCUGUGGUAUGGCACACGUAUGAUUUGGUGCUUUUUUGCAGGCCUUCAACAGCAGCAAAGCAUCUGGUGGCUUGCAGUACUAAUCUUGCAUUAUAUUCUCUGUUUUGCAAUCAUUUGGUACUGUUUGUCCCAACCAAGGAUAGCUCUGUGCAAGCAGUCUCGACUGUGGAACAAGUAAAACAAAUGGUACCUGCUGAAGCUGAGAGGGCAGAUGAUAAGCUGGUGCGGAAGGUGGUCAACCAAAAGAAUCAGACAGCAAAAACUAAAAAGCCCAUCAAGCCUGCUACUGAAGCAGCCUCAGCACCUGUUUCUGGGAGGGGUGAGAUUGAAGUGACUGAAGAAAAGGAGCAUGAGCAAACAAAGAAGGAAGAGGAGUUGGCCAGGAAGGUAGAGGAAUUGAGAAGUGAAGAAGAAGCAGCCAUGUUGAAGGAGAGAAAGCCAACGUUAAGGAGGCACUGGAAAGGAAACAAGGAACUGCAGAAAAGGCCAAUUUCUCUGUGAGUGCUGCCACCUUUUCAUAAUAAUGGAUGUUAAAAGCAGUCUAACUCUACAUGGCGUUUAUUUUCCCCAGCCAUGGAUUGGAAUCUGCCAGUCUAACUCUCAUAAGAAACAAAAUUUUCCAUCCUCAUAUGGAUUAUUGGAGAAGAUUUUAACAUGGAGUUCACUAGAGAGUUUCUAACACCCACUCAAAAAGGACAUUUUAGAGAACUUAUUGAAAAGUUACAUCAGAGUACAUAAAUUUUUAGAUAUUUUUAAAAAUAUCUGAAAAAUUAAAUUAACUAAAAGUAUUUGAAAAAUAUUUGAUUGAAUUAAUAAAUAACUAGUAUUUGCAUAUGAAAAAAUAGUAAACAUAGUCAAUAAUUUUUUUUUUAAUAAUUAGCACAUAAUAAUCAUAAAUUAAUUUAUGGCAAGACCUCAUAUUUGUUGUGGUGACUGUGUUGUCUUACCAUUCUUCUUUCAUGAUGGGCUUAAAUUUUAAUUUAAAUGUAGUAUAAAUAUAUAAUUAGAUUGAUAUUUCGUCCACUAGAAUUGAUUGGGUCUGAAUUUGAACCCUGGUCUUGAAUUUCUUGGCCCAACCAACGAAAUCAUUGACCAACGGCCCUUAGUUUGGGCUGGGCUUGAUGGUCCUCAGGUUAUGCAGGCUUAAUACUGAUUGGGUUUGGGCUUCCAUGCAGUUGUACUUGGAUUCUAUGUUUCCUAAUAUUAACACUAAAAUUAGGUUUAAUUUAUUAACACUAAAUUAGGUUUCAUUUAUAAUUAAAUAUAAUUAGUUUGAGAAUAACUCCAAUCUUUAGUUAAACCAACUAAGUUUUAUGCAAAGGUUUAUAUUCCUAAUACCAUUGAAAAACUAAAUUUAUGUGGAAGUUUGACUGAUACCAACAUUAAAUUAUUAAGAUAAAUUGAAAAAAAAAAAAUCAUGCUCGUAUGUCCUGUUGUUUGUCAUAAGAAAAUUUCUUUUCAGAUUUUUUUUUUCUUUUAAUACAUCUUUACAUUUUUAAUAACAAUCCAUAGGAUUGUUCCCAAACAUAUAUCAUAUAAAUAUAUCUUUUUUGGAUUUUUAAGAAUGUUGUCAAACAAACUCAUAAUACCAUUCUUUCUUUACAAUUACCAAUCCAUAUGAUGAAUUUAUUCCUUUCAAUAACUGACAUCAUCUAAUAAAAAUUAUAAUUAGGUAUUAUAUUUAAAAAGUGUUUAAUAAAUCAAUUUAAUAACUUAAGUGAUUUAAUAACUUAAUUUAAAUUAUUAAAAUAAUUUGAUGUCACAAUUUAAAGUUAAAAUUGAUUUAAUUAAUUUUUAUUUAAAUUUAAAACUAUGUUUACAAAAAAGGCUUAAAAUUCAUAUCAAUUAAGAAAUUAAGUUAUUAAGUUACUUUAAGUCAUUAAAUUAAUCUACCAAUUAAACACCCUUUAAGAUAUGAUAUAAAGUUCACCUCCUACAUAUCAUGAAAAUUAAAAAUUAAUUACCACAUCAAGAAUCUUUAGUUCCUAAUCGAUUUAAUAUUUAAUCCUUGGUUGUGAAUUUCUUUAUAUAUGUAGAUAUAUUUUUAUAUUGCAAGUGGGCUGCCGACUUUUCAUUUUAUACUAGUUUUGAAAAUAAGAUUGUAGUUUUUAUUUUGUCCAAAUCUAAUUUGGAGGGAGAAUCUUUAGAGGCUAUUUUAUAUUCAAAUAGGAAAAUUUUAAAUUUAAUAGUCCCACCUUAUAAAGGCAAAUAUCUUGGACCCUACAUGGGUGCCUCUUACAUGCAUGCACGAGGACAAAGACUUAUUGAAAGCCUCUCUCAUUCACAUGGAUGCCAUCAUUCAUCGAAGUUGAAACAUGAAACCCACACAAAAUAUUUGGGCAAAAGCAACUUCAAUAUUUUUUUUCAUUACUAUAGCUGAGAAUCUCAAUAUUAUUAAAUAGUAAUAAAAUUAAUUUUAAUAUUUUUUUUCUUAUUUUUUCCUCCUUGUGGUUAUAUUUUCAUCCGGAAAGUAUUAAAUAUUAAAAAAGAAUAAAAUUUAAAAAUUAAUUUUUCAUAUUUAAUUAUAUUGUGAAAAAUAUAAAAUAAAAUAUAAUAUAAUUAAAAUUAGUUAAAAUUUUAUAUUUUUAUAAAAUUAUUUAACUUUUUUAUAAAAAUUUAAAAUAAGUGACAUGAGUUUGAAAUAGUAUACAUAUUGACUUUAAAUUUAAUUUUUAUAUUUUUCAUUUUUCUUUUUAACUAUUCUUCUUUCUUCUCUUUCUCUCAACUUUUCCUUCAAAUUUUCCAAUAACCAAACAUAACCUAUUUGUUUCAUAAAAACUCUUUUACCUUUUUAAAUUUUUAAAAGAGUUGCUUACAUAAUAUGGAGCUAAUAGUAUUACUUGUACCUAUUAAUUUCUUUUAAGAUUAAAUUGUUCUAACUUUGUGUGAUAAAAAGUUUGUAAAGUCCAAUUUUACGAAAGAAAAUAUAUGAUUAGUGACUCCCUUGCAUUUCCUUUGGGAUUCACCCCUUCAUACUUACCGUAAAUAGUUGUACCAAUUAAUCAAACAAAAAACAUAGCAUGUAAAUAGUAAUAUGUUAAAGUUUUCUAUCGUGCCUAAGUUUAAUUAGUUCUACUUAUUUAUAUAUUGAAAUGAAAGUAAGCAUAUAUUUAAGUGGUCCAUCAAAUUUGAAACUAAUCUAUUGUAAUUACAUUCAUGUCUAUAUCAUUUAUAUUGUACAUAACUUGAGUACAUUAAAAAUUGUACAAAAAAUCCAAAUUACAAGGAAGUUUAUAUAAACUCUCUUAGGAUUAGACACUGUUAGUCAUUGCCUUCUAAAAAGCUUUCAUCUCUUUCUCCCUCAAGAGGUUUGUAGUCACUUUACACAAGUGUCAAAACUCAAAAGAGUGAUCUAAUGAAGAUGACGAGGUGAUUGAGAUCCUUUUCAUAAACUGGAGUUUGAUAUGGGAACAUUCAUAUCGAAGGUAAAAAUUUUUAUCAGCAACUAGACUUACUUUUAUCUUUCCUUAUAAUUAAACCCAAUAAUCCUAGGUUGUUAGAGACCACACACCUAUGAUCCAAGGGUUUUCCCAACAAGGAUAUCAAUAAAUCUUUCUACUCUAUUGAUGGCAUCUUGAAUUCUUUCAAAUUAAUCACUUCAUUGUAAUCGUUAUUCACUAAAUCCCAUAAAUCUUGAGAUCUAAACAUGACAUUCAUAUGAAUGCAUCAAUUAUUAUAAUUCUUACUUAUGAAUUUUGAAAGUUGAGAUUCAAUUGAGUUAUUAUUUACCAUCAUUACUUUAACAACCAAAUUGCAAAUUUCUUUAUACUAUUCACAUUCUCUGGCAGCCUUUGACCUUCCCUAAUCUUUAGCCUCUAGCUAAUACCACUUGUUUGAGCUCCCAUAAUUGGGCAGCAUUGACAAUAAUUUACUAAAAUAACAUUUUAUUCUAUCCUACUCUCUCUUUGUCAACAUAAUAAUAAACCUCUAUUUAAAAUAAGUUGAUCAUAUUUGCAUUAUCACUCUAAUUCAUAAUUAGAUUGGGAAACCUAAUUAAUAUCAAAUAAAUAACCAUUCCUAAUAUUUCUCAAAUUUAUAAAAUUCUUCUAAUUUGACUUUAAAUUGAUUUUUUAUUUUGACUAUAUAGCUUAAAAAGGAUAAUUUUUUAAAUAAUUAUCAAUUUCAUAUAAUCUUUAUAAGCAUUUGUGUUCAUAAAUUCCUUAUUAUGAUAUUAGGUUUUAGACAAUUUGACAAUAUGAUGAUGUUUUGGAAUGAAUGUUAAGUGAAUCCGUUUUACUCAAAACCAUUAAAUAAAAAAAAAAGACAGUUACACAAGUAAAAUAGUAGAUUAUUGAAGGCCAGGAGAAAAGAAGAGGAAAAUGAAAUAUUAUAUCCCUAUAAUGAGUUAGGUGGAUAUUUCAUGUGAAAAGUUUAAUGUGCAAGGUUGUUCAUGUCUAUUGAGUUUUGGGUAAUCAUUUUUUCAUGGAAAUUUUUUAUGGAAUCCUAAUCUUAGAAAGCAAUAGGAAAUUUUUUUACCAAGAUUUCUAAGAAAUAACUACAUCAAAGUGUAAGAAAAGUAUCAAACUAGAAUAUCUAAGAAAUUACUACAUCAAAGUGUAAUAGAAACAUCAAAUUAGAAAGUGAAAUAUAAUACAAUUCAACUAUGAAAAUGAAGGACAAAGGAAUAGACUAAUUGCCAAAGGAAAAUAGUCUUUUAGUUUUAAUCAGAAAUUUCUUAUAUCAUAAUUAUGACCUGUAGAGGCCACAUGGGUUGUUGGCCUUGGAGUGACUAAAAGGUACAACUAAAAAACGUCAAACAUUUGGAGAACUAAAAGAAAACAUGGAUAAAAUUUUUUUACCUAGAACAUUUAUAUAGAAAUAUUUUAUUUUUUAUUUUUAAAAAAUUAGUAAAGGUAGUAAAGUUUUUUAAAGAUUAUUUUGCGCCCUAAAAACAAAUCGUAAAGGCUUGUUAAAGAUUAUUUUGGAUAUGUUUCAUGCAUUAAUUUUUUUUAACAUUUCAAAUUUUUAAAUGAUUUUUAAAAGUUAUUACCUUUUAAAAUGUAAAUCUCAUAGAGUAUUUGCAUUAUAUAGGAAUUACUAUCAUUUUUAUUUUUUUUAAAAAAGAGAAAUGUAUUCAAAUAAUACCUUAAUUUUUCAUUUUCUAGUAUAAGGAAAUGAUUAUAUCUCACACAAACCUUGUUCAGAUACAUAUUUCAAAGUGAGAAAAAAAAAAUUCUUUUAGAGAAAAGAAGUCCUUCAAAAAGAAGAAAAAAAAAGGUUUUUCAAAGAAGAGUUAGAAGGAAAAGUGAAUUCAAUCUUAUAAUCAGCUAACAUGAUGUUGUUUGAUUACAUUUUUUAUUUUCUAUUUUUACAAAUAAAAUAUAAUAAUAACUCCUAUAUGAAAUAUAGAACUCUUUCAAACUUACUUUAAAAACAUAAUAAUAUUUAAAAAUUAAGAUAAAUUGUGAUAUUAAAAAAAAAAUUACUUCUUCAAAUUUUAAAAAUUAUGAAAAUAAAUUUUUAAUGACAUAAGAUAAGUCUAUAAAUUUUACAUAAAAGUUAUUAUAUUUUAUAUAGAAACUAUUACUAUUUUCUAUUUGUAAAAAUACAAAAUAAAAAAUAUAUCCAAGCAAGUACUAUGAGAAAUAGUUUCUAACAUUUCUUAUUAAGAAAAUGAGAAUAUUAAGAAGUAUAUUCCUACUACAUUGUUUUUUUUUUUAAUUUGAUAUCAACCCAUUCUAUUAGCUCUUUUGAGAAAUAUAGAAAAAUAACAUUACAUAAUUGCAUAGAACAAGAAUAUUAUUUAAGUUUGAGGCAAGUGUUAAAAAGAUAUUGUAAUUCUGUUACGUUGUUUAACUUCAAUGUCCUAUAUGUAACUGUUAGGAAUUUGAGGCUAAUCCAAACUAUAGUAAUCACCCUAGAGGGAGGGGGGGGGGGGGGGUAAAUAGGGUGAUGAUCUCUUUUUCACAAAUCUAAACUAUGCAAAAAUAAGAGACAAUUAUAUGUAAAUAUAUAAUAAACACAAUUACAUAUAAUUUAAAAAAUUUGGGAAAAAAAAGUGCAAAACCGAAAACUUAUAAUGGGUCGACACUUCCUUGGCCACCUUCCCUCUCCUUAAACCCCUAAACGAAUGAGGGUUCCCCUAUUUUGAAGCUUCCACCAAGCUUCCAAACCCUUUACAAAUGGAUUAAGGUUUCCAAUCCCCCUUUUGNNNNNNNNNNNNNNNNNNNNNNNNNNNNNNNNNNNNNNNNNNNNNNNNNNNNNNNNNNNNNNNNNNNNNNNNNNNNNNNNNNNNNNNNNNNNNNNNNNNNAGAGAGUGCAAACACGAGAGCUUAUAGUGGUUCGACACUUCCUUGCCUACGUCCACUCUCCUCAACCUCCUAACCGAGUGAGGGUUCCACUAUCUUGAAGCUUCAACCAAGCUUCCAAUCUCUUUACAAUUGGAUUAUGGUUCCAAUUCACCCUUUUGGACUUUUGGCUCCAAGCACCCUUUACACUUCUCAAAAGUUAUCCCACUCUUGAACAACCUCUCAAGUGAUACCCCUCACUUGAGAAAAUUCCUCUCAAAGAUAUACAAAGAUUGAUCUCACAAAAAUUGUAGUAAUAGAACUUUAAGCUCAAAUGAUACAAGAGAAACUAGGAUUGAAUGGUGCACUAAAGAUAUGCAAGUUUUGGAAUAAUGGUGCACUCAAAAAUACUCUUCCAAGGCUCAAAUAUAAUCAAGAAAGAUUUGGGAAGGUUUAGCUUAUCAAACAACGAAGUUUGGAGCCUUUUUAUAGAAGAAAAAAGUCAUACUAGCCGUUGGGGGUUUGAUCGGUCGAGCUAAGGGUCGACUGGUUGACUAACCAUUAGGAAAAGUGACUGUUGAGCCUCAACCGGACCUCAACCGGUUGAGGUUCAACCUUGACCGGGAAGAGAAGGCCACUAGGAGAGAGAGAAAGUUUUUGGCCUCCCUCAACCGGUCCUCGACCGGACGAGCACAACCAAUCGACCAGUUGAACCGGUUGAGCCAUUUUUUUGGCUCAACACUCAACAUUUUUCAACUUAAAACCUUUUAACACAAAUUUGAAAAUCAUUUAACACAAGGUUUUAGUUGAAAACAUUAAAUCAUCCAAUUCUUAAGAUAUUUAAAACAAUAUUACUCUUGGAUAAUUUUGGUGCAUAAAUAAAUAAUGAAAUGCAUGAAAGUCCUAGUGCACCAACAACCUUACAAAGAGAUCCUAAGAAGCUUUGGUCUUGAAAAACUCUUCUCUUUGAGGUGGUCUUCUUUUUCAUGAUUUCUCCUUGACUUGAUUUGUCUUUGGAUUGCCACUUUGGAAGUCGUCUUGCCUAAUCACACUUGAAAUAUGAUCAUUAGUUCUAAACCUUGUUUUGUUAUCAUCAAAAUCAAGAUUAACCAAACCUUGGUUUCACAGUAACGACUUGUUCCCAACCAUAUAGAUAUUGUCCGCUUUGGACCCAAAUGGGCCCUCACGGUUUUUAAAACUCGUCUACUUGGUUAAGAGGAACUUCUACAUAUAUAGCGUCAGACUUUCCCCCCUAUCCGAUGUGGGAUGUCACAAACACCCCCCUCCCCCCCUCCAUGUAGACACAACGUCCUCGUUGUGUCCCAUGGGAUUGUAGGGUUAAAUAGACAAACACCCCUUAUGAGGUCAAACAAACCCCAACACCGGGGUCGGGGAUCGACUCUGAUACCAUUUAUCAGAAUCCGUACUCAAUUAUAUAUAUAUUGUCCGCUUUGGACCCAAAAGGGCCCUCACGACUUUAAAACGCGUAUACUUGGUUAAGAGGAGUCUCUACACAUAUAGCACCAAGAACUUUUCCCCCUAUCCAAUAUGGGAUGUCACACUAUAUAUGUGUAACAAUUUUUCUUUAAAAAAAUUAGAGGACUUAAAAUGGGCUCUUGUCAACCUUAUUGAUAUUUGAUGUCAAAGGGAUACAACCAACCACCACAAAUAAUUGAGAGAAAAGAAAGGAAAUAAUAAUAAGAGGUAGGCCCCGGGCUCUUGUGAACCUUAUUGAUAUUUGAUACCAAAGGGAUACAACCAACUCCCACAUUUAAUUAAGAGAAAAGAUUGGGAUAUCCUCACCACCAUGUCUAGAUUGCUUUAGUAGGACCAAGAGAAGUCAUUCAGCAUCCAAAGAUCCUCUUCUUCUUCUUCUUCUUUUAAUUCUAAAUGGAGGGACAAUGUGUUCUUGAGUUUCAAAGGUGAAAAUACUCACAAAAGCUUUACUAAUCAUUUCUACUGUAUAUCUUUACUUGUAAUAAAUGUAUAAGAUAUUUGUAUUAACUGUAUAAAACAUGUACAGACCUGUAUAUCUUGAAUUUAUUAAUAUGUUUUUCUUCAUUUUCUUUGUUUUCCAUACCAAAAUACUAAAAAAAUUAUUUACAUAAUUUUUUCUUUUCACAUUUUCAUAUGUAUACAAGACACUUAUACUAAAUGUACAAGAUAUUUUCAUAUUUUGACUAAUGCCUAUACAAAUAUGCAAAUAUAUUGACAAUAGGCAAACUCAUACUAGUCUUGUAUAGUUAUGACAAAUGUCUUAUACAUUUAGGGUGUGUAUACAAUGUUUUCUAAUUCUUUGUAUAGUUAAUACAAAUGUCAUAUAUAUUUUUGAAAAUGUAAAAAAAAAAAAAAGAAGUUAUAUUUGACAUUUACACAUUAUAUAUAAACAAUAUUUCAAUUUAAUAUGGAAAAUGAAAAAAAUGCAAAUAGAUAUAUGUGAAGGGUAAAAAGAGUAUUUUUGUUCGUAAAAUUUCAUGUACUUAAACAUGAAGUAUGCAUCUUUUCACAGAUGUUGGCCAAAUUAUGAACCUCAAACACAAUUGUUUUAAAGAGAAAUGUGAAGAAAAAGAAUAUGAAUGGUAGUUGUAAGAAAAUUAAAAAAUAAAAUCAUUGACUCUUCACUCUACCAAACUAGGGAUGACAACGAGGCGAGUUUGGGAUGGGGCCUCGUUCCGUUUAACUUUUUUUUUUAAUUACUUAAAAUUUUUUUAAUUAUAUUAAAAUAAAUAUAUUUUAUAAAUAAUUAAAUUAUUAUAUUUUUAUAACUUAUUUUAUUAAAAAAUAUUUUUUUUAUUAUUUAUAUAUUAAAAAUAGUAAAAUUAAAAUUAAAAUUAAUUUAAUUUUAAAAAUUAAUUUUAUAUAUAAUAGGGGUGGAGCAAGAUAAGGCAAUAGCUGAAUCUGUCCUGGGUUUUAAAAAGAUUCCCAAACCUGUCCAAAACUCAUUUAGUUAAAAUUGAAACUCAUCCAAUUACGAGCGGGUAUCCGAAAAAACUUGUCCUAUUGUCAUCCCUAUACCCAACCACACUAUCAUCCAAUGAAUAAAACGAAAAUAACUAAAAUUAAGGAACAACCCAAGAAUCAAUGACUUCCUAGCAAGCCCAUCCAUAUCCCAACACGGACAAAAAUAUUUUAAUUUUUUUGCCUUAAAAAUCACGCAUGAAGCUUCCUAGAAAUUUCAUACUUCUUUGUCAUUAUCUAUAUUUUCUACUUCUUUUUCAUCGUCAAUAUUUGUGUAUAUAUAUAAAAUAAAACUUGCAAGAAAAUACAAAAAUGAUAGAUGGCAAAAUGGUUUUUAUGUUAAGAAGGUUCUAAAUUUUUCACACCUUUACAGUAUAAAAAAAAAAAAAAAAAAAAACUUUUUAAAUACAGAACUAUUUCGGACUUGAAUCAUUUUGAAAUUCAGAGACUUGAAAAGUGUUUGUUGGACUUGAAGGAGUUUGGAGUUAAUCUUGAACUUAGAUAUGUUUAGAAAUCAAAGUGGAUUUGAAGAAGAUUGAAAUCCACGACAUGACAACACUGUAAUAUGAAUAGUGUUUUGUCAAAAAAAAUUACUAUUUACUAUUUACUAGGGCAUAAAAGAAAAAUACAAAAUAAUACUCUAAAAAUGCGAAGGAAAGAUUGUUGGUCGUUGAAUAAGGGGAAAAAAAAGAAGAAAAGUAAAAUGUGAAAAAAAAAAGCUUCAAGAGUGCAAUUAAUAAUUGUGGUAGGCCCUGACUUUUGUCUUGUGAACCCGCCUAUUAUUGAAUGGAAAAGGGAUAUAGCCAACCAAAAUAAUUGAGAGUAAAGAAAGGAACACCUCACCACUAUGCUCCAAAUUGAGAGAAAAACAAAGUCAGCCGGCAUCCAAGGACAUUUUUAUUAAAAAAGUAAAGAAAAGAAAUGGUGCUUUAGCUAUUAUCAUAUCAACUCCUAGGAAAUAAAUGAAAAGAACAAGUAAAUGAAAAGAAACAAAAAAAAAAGUUCUUAGAAUGCAAAAAGAAGAUAUUGGAUAUUGAAUGCCCAAAAGAGAAAAAAAUAAAAUGGUAAGAUGUAAAGAAAAGAGUCAGAAAAGCUUCACAAUUGCAAUUAAUAAUUGAGGUACGACUUGGACUUUUGUGAACCCUCACUGUUAAUGCUAAAGGGUUACAGCUAAGGAAAGGAUAAAUGGGAGAGAAGAACAGGACAUCCUCACCACCAUCGUCUUAGCAUCAAAGACCCUCUUUUUUCUUCUUCCAAAUUCUGUUCUUGUAAUUUUGUUACAAUCCAACCAUGGCUUCCUCUAGCAAUUCUAAGAGACCCUUUUGUUCUUCUUCUUCUUCUAAUUCUAAAUGGAGGUACGAUGUGUUCUUGAGUUUCAGAGGCGAGGAUACCCGCAACAACUUUACUAGUCAUCUCUACAAGGAUUUGGAUAAGGCCAACAUUAAAACCUUUAAAGAUGAUGAAGAACUUCGAAAGGGAGGAGAGAUUGCACCCGAGCUCCUAAAAGCUAUUGAAGAAUCAAGGAUCGCCAUUAUCGUCUUCUCGAAAACCUAUGCUCAUUCCAAGUGGUGCUUGGAUGAACUCGUCAAGAUCAUGGAGUGCCAGAAAGAAAAGGGACAAAUAGUUUAUCCCGUUUUCUAUCACGUACGGCCGUGUGAAGUCAGGAACCAGUAUGGGACUUAUGGAGAAGAAUUUAAGAAACACGAGAGCAAUGCGGACGAGGAGAAGAAGAAGAAAAUAGGGGAGUGGAGGACUGCCUUAAGGAAAGCCGGUGAUUUGAGUGGAUUUAGUCUGCGGGAUAGGUAAUCCCUACUUCACUUUUUCCAUUUCCAAUUUUCUGUCAGUUUAUUUUCAUUCUUGUUAGUAAAUAAAAUAUUUAUGAUUACAUAUAUCAAUCAAAAUCCAGUUUUUAAGUAGUAGACAUUAAUAUGUUUGAUUUCUUGGAAAGUAAUAAGAAGAGUUAAAAAUAAAUAAAAAUAAAAAUUUAAAAAAUUUGAUUUUCUUAUAUUUAAUGUAUUAUUAAAAAAUAUGAAAGAAAAUAAAAAUAUAAUUAAAAUACAUUGUAAAAAUAUAUAUAAUUAGUUUAUAAUUAAAAUAAUCUUAGAAAAUCUAUAGUAGUUGUUCUGGGCUCAUUCAGGCCCAACAGGUAAUCCCUAUUUCACUUUUUCCAUUACCAAUUUUCUGUCGGUUUAUUUUCAUUCUUGUUAAUAAAUAAAAUAUUUAUGAUUACAUUUAUCAAUCAAAAUCCAUUUUUAAGUAGUAGACAUUAAUAUGUUUGAUUUCUUGGAAAGUAAUAAGAAAGAGUAAAAAAAAAAAUUGACUUUCUCACAUUUAAUUUAUUAUUAAAAUUAUAAAAGGAAAUCAAAUAUAAUUAAAAUAUAUCGAAAAAAAAAAUAUUUGCCUACAAUUGGGAUAAUAUUAGAAAAUCUAUAGUAGGUGUUGUGGGCUCAUUCAGGCCCAGGUAAUACUGGUAAAAAAAUAAAAUAAAAUAAUUAUGCCAAAUGCCAAGUUUUGAAUUGUUAAAAAUCUUUAAGAUUCCAAAAUAUUCUUCCUUUCUAAUCAAUCCAUCUCAGCCAUAAUUUCUAUCAAUUAAAUUGUUCAAAUUGGUUAUUUAUAUGCUUUGUAAAUUUGGAGAUAAUCUGAGAUGAUUAUUUAAAAUAUUGUAAUACUACCCUAAAUUUUUUUGGACCCUCUUAUGGGACAAAAAACUUAGUUAUUGCACCCUUAACCUUUUUCAAUUUUAGAGGAAUUUUCUAUUACUAAAAUAAUUUUCUCAUGUUCUCUGUGCACUACAUGAGUUUACAUUUCUUCUUUACUUAAUAUUGUUUGUUCCUCUAUAUUUGCAAGUUGAUUAUUAAAUUUAUUUACCUUUUAAUCUAAUGUUUGUAUCUCGUUUUAUUCUAAUUAUCCCAUGACAUCUGGAUAAUCUCUUCUUAAGACCUUGACAUGACAUAAUGAAAUUUUAUUUAAACAUGCAAUUCAACACAUUUUUAAUUUACAUUCUAUUUGACCUUAAUUUAAUUGCACCGAACUAAAGAUCAUUCUAUAAUUUCCAUUUACUUCAUCUUUGUUUUCUUUGACAAUUGAUUGUAGCUUACUCCAUGUUUUAUUGUACUUUAUAAUGGACAGAUCUGAGGCAGAGUUUAUUGAAGAAAUCAUUGGUGAGAUUCGAAGAUUAAUUCCUAAGUGGGUACAUGUUGGUGAGAAUAUUGUUGGAAUGGAUGAAAAUUUGAAAAAAGUGAAGUUAUUGAUAGAUGCCCAAUCAAAUAAAGUGAGUAUGGUUGGGAUUUAUGGGACUGGUGGGAUUGGUAAAACUACCAUCGCCAAGGUUGUUUACAAUGAUAUGUUAGAUCAAUUUAAAUGUCACAGCUUUCUUGAAAAUGUGAGAGAGAAAUAUGAAGAUAAAGGUGAUUUGCUUCAAUUACAAAAAGAACUUCUUUGUGAUAUCCUAAUGGAGAAAAAUCUGGUGUUAAGGAAUAUUGAUGAAGGAUUUAAAAAGAUAAAGAGUAAGCGUCACUCUGAAAAGGUUCUUAUUGUUCUUGAUGAUGUAGGUUGUGAAGAACAAUUAAAAUUCUUAGCUCCUAAUUCUGAAUGUUUUCAUCCAGGAAGCAUAAUCAUUGUGACCACGAGAAAUAAGCGUUGCCUAGAUGUAUAUGACUCGUAUUCAUCAUAUGAGGCUAAGAGAAUGGCAGACAAGCAAGCUGAGGAACUCUUUUGUUGGAAUGCCUUCAAGCAAGACCAUCCCAUAGAAAAUUUUGUGGGCCUCUCUAAUCGUAUACUGGAUUAUGCUGACGGCCUUCCAUUGGCUCUUGUAGUUUUGGGUUCUUUUCUCUUUCAAAGGCCUAUGGAUGAAUGGGAAAGCACAUUGGAUGAACUCAAAACAAUCCCUCCCGAGAAUAUUCAAAAGGUACUCCAGAUAAGUUAUGAUGGACUAAGUGAUGAACGCAAGAAGUUGUUUCUUUAUAUUGCAUGCUUCUUCAAAGAUGAGGAUGAAAAAAUGGCAACAAGAAUACUAGAAAGUUGCAAAUUACAUCCCGCUAUUGGACUAAGAGUUCUUCAUGAGAGGUGUCUUAUUUCUAUAGAGGACAACACUAUAAGGAUGCAUGACUUGUUACAAGAAAUGGGUUGGGCAAUUGUUUGCAAUGAUCCAGAACGUCCAGGAAAAUGGAGCAGAUUGUGCGAAUUACAGGAUAUUGAAAGUGUAUUAUCACAAAAUGAGGUAAGAGAAAAAUACAUGAACAUACUUGAGAUCUAAAGACAUAAAAGAUUCAACAAGAUUUAUUUUUAUUAUUAUUAUAGUUUGAGUAUAUUAUCUAUAUAAUUUUAGUGAAUCCCUAUGCAUCUUAUACUGCUCAUUCUCAAUCCUUGUUUUCAGUGGACAAAAAACAUUGAGGGGAUUUUCACAAGUCAGUCUCGCCAUACAGGAAAACAUAUACAACUUACUACUGAAGUUUUCAGAAAUAUGAAUCAACUUAGAUUGCUCAAAGUCGAAUUCAAUCAGAUCGUGCAGCUUUCCCAAGACUUUGAAUUGCCUUGUCAUGAUUUAGUAUAUUUUCAUUGGGAUUACUACCCUUUAGAAUAUUUGCCAUCAAAUUUUCAUACAGACAAUCUUGUUGAACUCAACCUCUGGUGUAGCCGCAUAAAACAUCUUUGGGAAGGAAAUAUGGUAUUGCUAUUAUUUAGUUAUAUUUUUGUUGUAGACUAAUUUUAAAGUCUUUUGAAGUUUACUUCUUGACACAAAUUUUCUUCUGUUACAGCCUGCUAAAAAGUUAAAAGUCAUUGAUCUUAGUUAUUCCAUGCAUCUGGUUGACAUUUCAAGCAUCUCAAGUAUGCCAAAUUUGGAGACUCUAACUCUAAAAGGUUGUACAAGGUUCCUUAAGUGUUUCAUCCAUGCUAAAUGUUAUUAUCAGUCAUGAACUAAUUGUUUUCUUGAAUAUAAUAGGGUGCACGAGACUUAAGAGUCUUCCAAGGAACUUUCCUAAGUUGGAAUGCCUUCAAACACUCUCUUGUUGUGGCUGUUCAAACUUAGAGAGUUUUCCGAAGAUCGAGGAAGAAAUGAGAAGUCUAAGAAAGCUUAAUUUAAGUCAAACAGGUAUAAUGGGAUUACCAUCAUCAAUUAGCAAGCUAAAUGGGCUUAAAGAGUUGGACUUAAGUAGUUGCAAAAAGCUUUCGAGUCUUCCGGACAGUAUUUAUAGUUUGAGCUCUCUUCAAACUCUCAAUCUAUUUGCAUGUUCACGACUAGUGGGCUUUCCGGGUAUCAAUAUUGGAAGUCUAAAAGCUCUUAAAUACUUGGAUUUGUCAUGGUGUGAGAACCUUGAGAGUCUUCCGAAUAGUAUUGGUAGUUUGAGCUCUCUUCAAACUCUUUUAUUGAUAGGGUGUUCAAAACUGAAGGGCUUUCCAGAUAUCAAUUUUGGAAGUCUAAAAGCUCUUGAAUCGUUAGAUUUCUCAGGUUGCAGAAACCUUGAGAGUCUUCCCGUGAGCAUUUACAAUGUAAGCUCUCUCAAAACUUUGGGGAUUACAAAUUGUCCAAAACUCGAGGAAAUGUUAGAGAUGAAACUAGGGGUUGAUCCAUGCCCCUGGCCAUUUUCACCUCUAACCUGUCACAUUUCAAAUUCAGCAAUAAUCUGGGAUGAUCACUGGCAUGACUGCUUUUCCUCAUUAGAAGCAUUAGACUCACAGUGCCCCCUGUCAUCACUGGUAGAAUUAUCUGUAAGAAAGUUUUAUGACAUGGAAGAAGACAUCCCCAUUGGCAGUUCCCACCUAACCUCAUUGGAAAUAUUAUCUCUGGGGAACGUCCCUACAGUAGUAGAAGGAAUCCUCUAUGACAUUUUCCAUCUAUCUUCAUUGGUAAAAUUAUCUCUUACUAAAUGCAAGCCAACAGAAGAAGGAAUCCCCCGUGAUAUUCAGAACCUAUCUCCACUGCAACAAUUAUCUCUACAUGACUGCAAUCUAAUGAAAGGAACGAUCCUCGAUCAUAUUUGCCAUCUAACAUCCUUGGAAGAAUUAUAUCUGGGUUGGAACCAUUUUAGUAGCAUUCCUGCUGGCAUCAGUCGACUUUCCAAUCUAAAAGCCCUUGACUUGAGUCACUGCAAGAAGCUUCAACAAAUUCCAGAGCUUCCAUCUAGUCUACGAUUUUUAGAUGCGCACUGUCCGGAUCGUAUUUCAUCAAGCCCCUUGCUUCUACCUAUUCAUUCUAUGGUCAAUUGCUUCAAAUCAAAAAUUGAGGUAUGAUUCUCAUGCCACGUUCCUUUUUCUUUUGUACCCAUUGGAUUUACAUGGUGCUUUCGUGCAGGGGCGCAAGGUUAUUAAUAGGUAUUCUUCCUUCUAUGGCAAUGGGAUUGGUAUUGUUAUUCCUAGUAGUGGAAUUCUAGAGUGGAUAACGUAUCGGAAUAUGGGAAGGCAAGUAACAAUAGAGCUCCCUCCGAAUUGGUAUAAAAAUGAUGACUUGUGGGGAUUUGCUUUAUGCUGUGUUUAUGUUGCACCUGCCUGUAAAUCUGAGGAUGAAUCUCAGUAUGAAUCAGGUCUUAUAUCUGAGGAUGACAGUGACCUUAAAGAUGAAGAAGCAAGCUUUUAUUGUGAAUUGACAAUCGAAGGAAAUAAUCAAUCAGAAGACGUGGGUCAUUUCUUUCUUCAUUCUCGCUGUAUUAAGGAUGAUGUAUCAGAUAUGCAGUGGGUGAUAUGUUAUCCCAAGUUAGCUAUUGAGAAAAGUUAUCACACCAAUCAAUGGACACACUUCAAGGCUUCAUUUGGUGGUGCCCAAGUGGAAGAGUGCGGAAUCCGUCUUGUAUACAGAAAAGAUUAUGAACAGAAGCAUCCAAGAAUGGCACAAGGCAGUACUUCUCAUGGGAAUUUUGGUGAGCAUGGAUCAGUAAGAGAAGAUACUGAUAGUAAAGCUCACAAUAAAAGGAAUCCCACAGAACAGAGCCCAGGAGAGGAGUCACACCAUAAAAGAUCCAGAGAAACCCAAGACUGAUCUCAAGUAUUAGGCUCAACCACACUUGCAUCACUAAUGCUCUCUUUACUGGUAAUUCAUCUUCCUUUCUCUUUCUAAUUCAAAGGUCAGAAUUUUUUUUUUAUCGUGUUUCUCCUUUUUAUUUGUUUUUUUUUUCCCCAAGACAAACAAAACUUUGAGGCUAUCACCCAUGGGCGCAAACUUCAAUGGUACACCUCCCAAGUUUGUUUUUCUCUCUCUCCAACCGUCUCUCCCUAGAUUUUUCUGCAUUUUCUUCAAACUCAUAUUUCCAUAUGAAAUUCAAUUACAUUCGAGCAUUUCAAUCUCUGUAGCUACUGUCUGAAUCAAUUAUAGGGUUUCUUUUUUCUGGAAGUUUGUAAUGUUAUUGAUUUAAGACUUCAUGUUUGGGGAUGUUUUGGGUGGCUUGUUCACUGGUAUUACUUGUGAUAAUUGCAGCUCUGGUGCUUUCAAUGACUGACAAUAGUUGAAACUAUGUUGAAUGCUUGUACUAAGGGAAUGGACUUCAGCUGCUCCAGGGUUAGUGCUAUAACAUCAGUAUUCACUCUUCAAGAAUGUAUAUAGUUGUUGUUUUGGAAUUUUGAAAUUACUUAGCAUCAGACAAUUUCUAACUCGGGAUUUGGAUUGGGAACCAUAAGUUAUCUCACCCUAGUGUUCUUUGGAAUAAUUAUAGGAUUUUGUAAGUAACUUUGGACUUGUUAGCAAUGUUCUGGAUUUGUGAAUAAUUUAUAGAAUACAUUGGGUGUUUUUUUUUUUUGGUCCAUCAAAAACUUCAAGAACUUUGAGGGUGAAUAAUGUAUGACUGUACUCUUCUCUAUCUCUGUGGUCAUAGCACACGUAUGAUUUGGUGCUUUUUUGCAGGCCUUCAACAGCAGCAAAGCAUCUGGUGGCUUGCAGUACUAAUCUUGCAUUAUAUUCUCUGUUUUGCAAUCAUUUGGUACUUUUUGUCCCAACCAAGGAUAGCUCUGUGCAAGCAGUCUCGACUGUGGAACAAGUAAAACAAAUGGUACCUGCUGAAGCUGAGAGUGCAGAUGAUAAACUGGUGCGGAAGGUGGUCAACCAAAAGAAUCAGACAGCAAAAACUAAAAAGCCCAUGAAGCCUGCUACUGAAGCAGUCUCAGCACCUGUUUCUAGGAGGGGUGAGAUUGAAGUGACUGAAGAAAAGGAGCAUCAGCAAACAAAGAAGGAAGAGGAGUUGGCCAGGAAGGUAGAGGAAUUGAGAAGUGAAGAAGAAGCAGCCAUGUUGAAGGAGCAAAGUCUGUUGGAGGAGAGAAAGCCAACGUUAAGGAGGCACUGGAAAGGCAACAAGGAACUGCAGAAAAGGCCAAUUUCUCUGUGAGUGCUGCCACCUUUUCAUGAUACAGCCAUCAUAAUGGAUGUUAAAAGCAGUCUAACUCUACAUACUUCCUUGCAUUAUACUAGUCAUUGAUGGGCUUAAAUUUUAAUUUAAAUGUAGUAUAAAUAUAUAAGUAGAUUGAUUGGGUCUGAAUUUGAACCUGGUUCGAGUCAUACUCCCAUCCAAUCCAAACUUGUGAUUGGGCUUGAAUUUCUUGGCCCAACCAGCGAAAUCAUUGACCAACGGCCCUUAGUUUGGGCUGGGCUUGAUGGUCCUCAGGUUAUGUAGGCUUAAUACUGAUUGGGUUUGGGCUUCCAUGCAGUUGUACUUGGAUUCUAUGUUUCCUAAUAUUAACACUAAAUUAGGUUUAAUUUAUAAUUAAAUAUAAUUAGUUUGAGACUAACUCCAAUCUUUAGUUAAACCAACUAAGUUUUAUGCAAAGGUUUAUAUUCCUAAUACCAUCAGGUAUUAUAGUAAAUACCAUUGAAAAACUAAAUUCAUGUGGAAGUUUCACUAGGUGAUACGACAUUAAAUUAUUAAGAUAAAAUUAAAAAAAGAUCAUGCUCGUAUGUCCCGUUGUUUGUCAUAAGAGAAUUUCUUUCUAGAUUUUUUUUUUUUUGCUCUUUUCAAUUCUAGAUAUUUUAAUAUAUCUUUACUUUUUCAAAAACAAUCCAUAGGAUUGUUCCCAAACAUAUAUCAUAUAAAUAUAUAUUUUUAAGAUUGAUUUUUAAGAAUGUUAUCAAAUAAACUCAUAAUAGCAUUUUUUUCUUUACAAUUACCAAUUCGUAUGAUGAAUUAAUUACUUUCAAUAACCGACAUCAUCUAAUCAAAAUUAUAAUUAAGUAUCAUAUUAAAAGAGUGUUUAAAAAAUCAAAUUUAAUAACUUAAAGUGAUUUAAUAAUUUAAUUUAAAUUAUUAAAAUAACUUGAUGUCACAAUUUAAAGUUAGAAAUGACUUAAUUUAUUUUUAUUUAAAUUUAAAACUAAGUUUACAAAAAAGGUUUAAAAUUCAUAUCAAUUAAGAAAUUAAGUCAUUAAGUUACUUUAAGCCAUUAAAUUGAUCUACCAAUUAAACACCCUUGAAGAUAUUACAUAAAGUUCACCUUCUACAUAUCAUGAAAAUUUAAAAUUAAUUACAACAUCAAGAAUCUUUAGUUCCUAAUCGAUAUCAUAUUUAAUCCUUGGUUGUAAAUUUCUUUACAUAUGUAGAUAUAUUUUUAUAUUGCAAGUGGGUUGCCGACUUUUCAUUUUAUACUAGUUUUGAAAUUAAGAUUGUAGUUUUUAUUUUGUCCAAAUCUAAUUUGGAGGGAGAAUCUUUAGAGGCUAUUUUAUAUUCAAAUAGGAAAAUUUUAAAUUUAAUAGUCCCACCUUAUAAAGGCAAAUAUCUUGGACCCUACAUGGGUGCCUCUUACAUGCAAAAGGACAAAGACUUAUUGAAAGCCUCUCUCAUUCACAUGGAUGCCAUCAUUCAUCAAAGUUGAAACAUGAAACCCACACAAAAGCAAUUUCAAUAUUUUUUUUCAUAACUAUAGCUGAGAAUCUCAAUAUUAUUAAAUAGUGACAAAAUUAAUUUCAAUAUUUUUUUUUCUUAUUUUUUGCUCCUUGUGGUUAUAUUUUCAUCUGGAAAGUAUUAAAUAUAUUAAAAAAGAAAAAAAUUAUAAAAAAAUUUUUUUCCUAGUUAAUUAUACUAUGAAAAAUAUAGAGUAAAAUAAAAUAUAAUUAAAAUUAGUUAAAAAAUUAUAUUUUUAUAAAAUUAUUUGACUUUUUUAUAAAAAUUUAAAAUAAGUGACAUGAGUUUGAAAUAGUAUAUAUAUUGACUUUAAUUCUUUCAAAUUAAUCACUAGGUUGUUAGAGACAUACACCUAUGAUCCAAAGGUUUUCCCAACAAAGAUAUCAAUAAAUCUUUCUACUCCAUUGAUUGCAUCUUGAAUUCUUUCAAAUUAAUCACUUCAUUGUAAUCAUUAUUCACUUCAUUGUGAUUUGUCAGACAACAAUUCAUUUCUGCUUCAUGGUUGGACCUUGAGGUAAGGCUUUAGAGGCAUAAGCCUCAAAAGCCUCUUAAAAUUGGUUCUACACUUCUUGCAUGAUGAAUGCAAGUUCCAAAUUUUGAUGACUUGGUAAUGUUGGAGUAAUUGGGUUGAAAGCAGUCAAACACAAAUAUUUAUUAAAGAAGAUAAAAAUUUGGAAGAAUUAAAAUUUUAUUGUAUUCUACCACUCUUUUUUUUAUUCAAAUAUUACAUAAUCCUUUAUUAACUAAAAAUGACAUAAUUAAAAGUAAAUUAUCAUUUGAUUGCAAUGGAUUUAAUAGAAUAUGGUGGAUAUGCUAAAUUUUUGUCUGAUAAUAAAAUUUGAUUUGAGUGAAUAUAAUUAGAGUAAAAUAGUCUUUUUAACUAUCACUUUUACAAUAAAAAGUGUUUUAUUUAAACAAAUAUUUAAUAAAAUUUUAAAAACAUUUGAUAAAUAAUUAUUAUAAAAACUCUUCCUCGAAAAUACUUCAAAGUUCGUCGGAUGGUAAAUUAUACAUCAAGAUCUUAAUGAUGGUCCAUGCAACCAUCACCAUUGAUUGUUUUUGAAAACACAACUUCAAUUUAAAUAAUAUUUUAAGGUAACUCCUAGUUAUCAUAUUUUACAAGAUAUUUUUUAAAAUUAUUGUUUUUUUUCUUUCAAAAUCCUAAGAGAGAGGUCACCAAUAUCAAAAUAAUGUGACCCAUCUCUAUACUAUUGUCUCCAUUAUUUGGACUAUAUCAUAGUUUCCUUAUUGACAACAUGGUAGCCAUGUUAAAUACCUACAACUUUGAAAACAAGAUCUCAAAACUAUGCCUAUUUGAUUAUAAGGCUUAAUUAUUAUAGUUUAUCAUUUCCUAGCAUAUAUAGUUCUUAGCAUCUAAGUAUUUGUUAUAUAAGAAUUUUUCUCAUUUUUCAAGCUUGCAUUUUGUUUAGAAAUUUUUUGAGUUUUUUACAAUCAUUUUGAAAAUGUCAACUCAUAAUUAUAUACAUUUUAGUUCUAUAAGGACUAAAAUCACUUAACAUCAUGGUAAUACUAUUUAAGGUAAUUUGCUUUGAAUCAGAAUGAACUUAUAUACAACUUACGAUUUAUGGUAAUAAUAGAGAUCGAAUUUAAAAAUACAUAAGUUUUCAAUUAAAUAUUAAUAUAUUUAUGUUUCCUUCUUAUUUUUAAUCCUAAAACACAUUAAAUGUAUGCUCUUGAAUUCCUCCAUGUAAUGCGAUUUGAUAUAAUGAUAAAUCAACAAUUAUGAUUUAAUAAUAUGGUGCUUUGACUUUUGACAUUUAAGUAACACCGUCAAUAAAAGCUCCAUAUCUUUGCUUCAUGGAAGAACGUACAAAUGAUGUGAUUGAAUUACAUUUCAAUUAUGUUUGAUUCUUUGAAAAUACUCAAGAAAAAUAAAUAUUUAAAAAAAUAAUUUUCUCAUAUUUGAUUUUACUAUAAAAAAAAUACAUAAUUAAAAUUAGUAAUAAAUUUAAAUAAUUUUAAAUUACUUAAUCUUUAUAUAAAAAAGUUAAAUUAGUAAAACGAGUUUAAAACAUGAUAUAAAGGUAAUUUAUUGACUUUAAUUUUUUUUUUUUACUUCACUUUUUCUUUCCUUCUCUUUGAUGAGAUCAUCUUAGAUAAAUUGUUAAUUGAUUGCAGCAUAUUCAAUUGAAUUCGAUAGUCUAGGUAUCAUAAAUCAUACAUGUUGUGCACCAUUUACAGUAAAUGAACCGUCACAAACCAUACAUAGAGGAGAUGUUGAUUUCAUUAUAAAUCAUACGAUAAUUACAAAAGAUAUGAUAUUAACUUGCAGUAAAUUGCAACAUCGGCACUCUAAUGCUAGACAAAGUAACUAGACAAAGUAAGUCUAAUUAUUGCUAACUUUCCUCAUCUUUCUUGGGCCUUUUGGGUGCUUUUUGUGCAAAAGAGAAAAAGCUAUAACUAAAUUGCCAAUCCAUCACCGACGUUAUAGACUGAUGAAGAAUACCAAAGGGAGUGUUACGAAAUAAUGAGAAUAAAUAAUAAGAAAAAUAGAAUAAGAACACAUAGAUAUACGUGAAAAACUUUAGAUGGGAAAAAUCAUGAGAAAACGAGAAAAAGAUCCGUUAUGUCAAAAAUUGGUACAAAAUGGGAGAGUUGAAAGCGACUACAACAAAAGUAUAAUCAUCGUAACCCUAAAACUAUACAUCAUUAUUAUAUAUAUAUAUAUAUGUAUAUAUAUAUAUAUGCGAGAGUUGAGAACAACUAUGGGAUGAGGUCUAUCGACUCGAUCCCUUCACUACCCCCACAAAUCUCUCAAAAAAUCUCAUAAUUUUAACUUUACUACAUAUAUUGCAUCGCGAGCUUUUCGAAUUGAAUAAAAAAGAAUUUGGAAUCAUCAAACAGUAACAAAGGGAGUGAGAUCAUAACUUUGGAAGGAUUUUUUUUUUUUUUAAAUGUAGACUUGAAUGGUAAAUACUAAAAUGUGUUUGAGAGUGAUACUUGAAAGUAUUUUUAAUAUUUUUAAUAUUCGAAAAAUAAAAAAUUUUCAAAUAUUAAAAAUAUUUCCUAAAAUCAAUAUCAAAAACCAUUUUACAAAAUCAGUAUCAAACUAUCAAACAUAAUUUGAAUUUAAAUAGAGACAAGAACAACAUUGACUCUUGACUCACCAAACCAGUCCUAGUUCACUUAUUGAAUGAAAAGAAAAUAAUUAAAAAUAAAUAACAGCAUCCAUUCUACCAUGUUAUGAAGAGUAAAAGACAAUGGAGAUUUUAACUUUGUUGCCUUAAAAGUCAUGCCCCCUUUCAUGAGUAUAUAUAAUAAAAUAUAUUCGUUUGCAUCUCUUGAAUGCAAAUAAUUUGAUAAUUUUUUUAUAAUUAAUUUAUGAAGAUAACAAUUUGAUAAUUAGACAAUUAUGUUGAUAUUUUGACAUUAUUAUCAAUUUACCAAAUAAGAUUGUUUUUCACCCAACAAUAAUUUACUUAGAAUAAUAAAUAAAUUAAAUUAGCUAACGUAACCAAAGCAUUUGAUUAAAAAUUGGUUUUCAUUUACAAAGAUAAGUUGAAAAUUAAUUUUAAUUUGAUUUAAUUAGGAAAUUAAUUUUUUGCUUGUUAAGUUUGUUUUAAUUUGUAAAUUCAUGUAAAUAAAAAAAAGGAUAAAAAGAUAAUUUUCAUGUGAAAAUUCAUUUAAUUUGAAAAUAAAUGAUGUAAUGUGUUUCAUUGUCGGUUAGCAUUUUUCUUUUUUUCUUGUUUGUAUAACUUUUUAAAAUGUAAAAGAUAAUAAUAAAAUAAGAAAUAAUCAAUAAAUUAAAAAAAUAAAAUAAAUGAUCUCACUAAAAAUGUUUUUUUACCUUAUGUCAUAUGACUUGGAUUAUUUUUUUUCUCUUUUCAGUAAAACAAACUUUUAAUAUAAAUAAAAAAAUAAAAUAGGACAUAGAGGAAAAUAGCUAAAGAGUAUAAAAAAAAUUCAAAAUAAUGCACUAAAAAUGGAAAGAGAAUAUGGUGAGUAGUUGAAUAAUAAUAAAUAAAAAAAAGUCAAAAAAGCUUCAAUACUCUUUGAAUCCACUGUUAGUGAAUGCCAAAAGGCAUACAUCAUACACGCAACUAGAAAUAAAAUGGUAAAAUAUAAAGAAAAGAGUCAGAAAAAGCACGAAGACUACAAUUAAUAAUCGUGGCAGGACUUCGACUCUCGUGAACCCCCCACUGUCACUCAAUGCUAUAGGGUUACAGGCUUGGAGCCAAUCAAAGAUAAUUGAGACAGAAGAACCAGACAUCCUCAACACCAUCGUCUCAGACUCUCAGCAUUCAAAGACCCCUUUGUAUUUUCUUCUUCCAAAUUCUGUUCUUGUAAUUUUGUUACAAUCCAACCAUGGCUUCCACUAGCAAUCCCAAGAGACCCUCUUCUUCUUCUAAUUCUAAAUGGAGGUACGAUGUGGUCUUGAGUUUCAGAGGCGAGGAUACCCGCAACAACUUUACUAGUCAUCUCUACAAGGCUUUGGAUCAUGCCAACAUUGAAACCUUUAUAGAUGAUGAAGGACUUCCAAGGGGAGAAGAGAUUGCGCCCGAGCUCCUAAAAGCUAUUGAAGGAUCAAGGAUUGCCCUUAUUGUCUUCUCGAAAACCUAUGCUCAUUCCAAGUGGUGCUUGGAUGAACUCGUCAAGAUCAUGGAGUGCGAGAAAGAAAAGGGACAACAGGUUUUUCCUAUUUUCUAUCAUGUAGAGCCGUCUGAAGUCAGGAACCAGACUGGGAUUUAUGGAGAAGCAUUUAACAAUCACGAAAGAAAUGCAGACGAGGAGAAGAAGAAGAAGAAGAUAGAGCAGUGGCGGACUGCCUUAAGGAAAGCUGGUAAUUUGAGUGGAUUUCCUCUGCAGGAUAGGUAAUCCCUACUUCACUUUUUCCAUUCCCAAUUUUCUGUCAGUUUAUUUUCAUUCUUGUUAAUAAAUAAAAUAUUUAUGAUUACAUUUAUCAAUCAAAAUCCAUUUUUAAGUAGUAGACAUUAAUAUGUUCGAUUUCUUGGAAAGUAAUAAGAAAGAGUAAAAAAAAAAAAAAAAAAGAUUUUCUCACAUUUAAUUUAUUAUUAAAAUUAUAAAAGGAAAUCAAAUAUAAUUAAAAUAUAUCAGAAAAAAUUAUAUUUGCCCAGCAGGUGGAAAUGCCAAGUUUUGAAUUGUUAAAAAUCUUUAAGAUUCCAAAAUAUUCUUCCUUUCUAAUCGAUCCAUCUUAGCCAUAAUUUCUAUCAGUUAAAAAAAAUGGUAGUCUGUCAAAUAAAUUGUUAAAAUUGGUUAUUUAUAUGCCUUGUAAAUUUGGAGAUAAUCUGAGAUGAUUAUUUAAAAUAUUGUAAUACUACCCUAAAUUUUUUUGGACCCUCUUAUGGGACAAAAAACUUAGUUAUUGCACCCUUAACCUUUUUCAAUUUUAGAGGAAUUUUCCAUUACUUAAAUAAUUUUCUCUUCUUCUCUGUGCACUACAUGAGUUUACAUUUCUUCUUUACUUAAUAUUGUUUGUUCCUCUAUAUUUGCAAGUUGAUUAUUAAAUUUAUUUACCUUUUAAUCUAAUGUUUGUAUCUCGUUUUAUUCUAAUUAUCCCAUGACUCUUCUUAAGACCUUGUCUUUCACGUUGAAUCAUCUAAUGCUAAACUUAUUCCCUUACUAUUCUACUUUGUGUACUCAUGGGAUUAAUGUAUUGCAAUCAAAAUUAUUUUUUUUAAUCUCUUUUUCUCUUGUAUGUUCUACAUUCCUCUAUACCUCACAAAUAAAAGCAAGUAACCUUACAGCUUGUUUGACAAUAUAUUUGCAACUAAUGUUCAAAAAAUAGUUUUCCCCAACACAAUGUUGAAAAUAAUGAACAAAAUUUUAUUUGAAAAUUCAAAUAUGAAGAACGACUUUCUCGACUUAUUAACUAUGAAGGUGCUAUAAAUUUUUGUACAACAUAACAAUUCUCUAAGUAUUAUCUAUAUUUUCAAUUCUUUAUCACAAUACUCUAUAAGAAAAUACCUAAAAACAUUUCAAAUAUGCUCUUAAAAAUGAACUUGUUUACCAAACAAAUUUUUGAAAAUUAUUUUUAAUAAAAGAAAAAAUUAAAAAUAUAAUCAAGUGACAUGAAAUAUGGGAUGAAAAAUAAUAAGUUCUGUAUAUUAGAUUGACUAUACACACAGUUUAUAUUGGAUAUUACAAGAGAAGAAAUAAGAAACAAGAGACAUAAUAGAAAACUAACUUAUUCAUAAACUAACUUAUUCCUAAAUCAUAAAACUAUCUAUUUACAAAAAUAAAAAACUAAUAUAAUAUGAAAAUAAUUCUCCUAUUCUAUUUACAGCUCAAUUACAACCUAUUUACAGCUCAACACUCCCCCUCAAGCUAAGGAAUAGAUGUCUUCCAUUCCAAGCUUGAAUACAAGAUCGUGAAACAUUGAACUGUUCAGCCCUUUUGUUAGGAUAUCAACUAAUUGAUGUUUUGAUGGAACAUAGGACAUACACACUACUCCUUCCUCCAAUUUUUCUUUGAUAAAAUGCCUAUUAAUCUCAAUAUGUUUUGUCCUAUUGUGUUGUAUAGGGUUAUGAGCAAUAUUGAUAGCUGACUUGUUGUCACAAUAGAGCUUCAUAUGACCAUCCCACUUGAUUCUCAAAUCAUCUAGAAUAAUCUUCAGUCAAAGUAGUUCAUACAACCCUUGAGCAAUGUCCCUAAACUCUGAUUUUGCAGACGACCUUGCUACCACAUUCUGCUUUUUACUUUUCCAUGUUACCAGAUUACCUCGAGGAAAAGUACAAUACCCUAUAGUUGAUCUUCGAUCCACUAGGGAACCUGCAUAGUCAACGUCAGUAUAUGCUUCUAGAGUAAGAGUAUUGUUCUUUUUGAACAAAAUUCCUUUCCCGGGGUUGCCUUUCAAGUAAUGCAGCACCCUGUAAGCAACUUGAAGAUGAGGUUCUCUUGGAUCAUGCAUGAAUUGACUGAUCACGCUCACCGAGUAGGCGAUGUCUGGCAAGUGUGAGCAAGGUAUAUGAGCCUACCAACUAGCCUUUGGUACAUUCUUUUAUCCACCACUGGUUCUUCUUUAGCUUCUCCCAACUUGUGAUUUGGAUCCAUUGGGGUAGAGACUAGUUUACACCCAAUCUUCCUUGUUUCUGUCAAUAAAUUAGUCACAUACUUUUGUUGAUAGAUGAAGAUCUCUUGUGUGGAAUAUGCCACCUCAAUAUUGAGGAAGUGCUUUACUUUCCCUAGUUCCUUUAUCUCAAACUCUGUUGCUAAUCUUUGCUUCACUUCAUGCUUUUCUCUCUCAUCAUUUCCAGUCAUUAUGAUGUCGUCAACAUAGACUAGAAAAGCAAUUACUCCCCCUGUAGCCGAGUGCUUAAUGAAGAGAGUGUGGUCACCUUGGCUUUGCUUGUACCCAUACUCUUUCAUGACUUUUUCAAAUCUCUCAAACCAAGCCCUAGGAGAUUGUUUUAGCCUAUAAAGGGCCUUUUUCAGCCUACACACCUUGUUACCUAUGUUUCCCUCAAAUCUUGGUGGGAUGUUCAUGUAAAUCUCUUCAUCUAAAUCACCAUGAAGAAAUGCAUUCUUAACAUCAUACUAUAGGAGUUGCCAAUUGUAGUGGGUAGCCAAGGACAGUAGGAUUCUUAUAGUAUUCAUUUUUGCAACUGGAGCAAAAGCCUCCUGAUAAUCAACUCCAUAAGUUUGAGUGUACCAUUUGGCUACCAAUCUUGCUUUAUGUCUCUCAAGAGAUCCAUCAGUCUUAUAUUUCAGCGUGAAAAUCCACUUGCAAUUAACAAUGUUUUUCCCUUUCGUCUUUCAACAAUCUCCCAUGUUUUAUUAUUUUCUAAUGCAUUCAUCUCCUCUCUCAUAGCAUCCUUCCAUUCCCUUUUUGUCAAUACCUCAGAAACAGUGUUAGAGAUGAUAGUGGUGUUUAAACUCACAAUGAAAUUCUUGUGGGCUAGUGAUAGGUGCUUAAGAGACACAUAGUGUGAUAGUGGAUAGAGUGGUUAAUUAGUGCAUUAUCCGGUGCCUUUUCUGACAGCAAUGAGAAGGUCUAGGUCUAGGUUGUCUGUUGAGUCAAUGGAAGUUUCACCAAGUUGUGUAUGUAAAGGUGGGUCUAAUCUUACCGUGAUUUCAUUCCUAGGAUUUGAGUUGGAUUCUUGGACCUGCUAUUGUUCUGGAAUGACCUUUUCCCUUUAAUACAUCUUAGGAAACUGUGGAAAAUUACAAGUGACACUGGUUGGAAUAGGGAAUGACACGGGUUUAGUGGUAAAAUUGGGUGACUCAGGUGUGAUUAGUUCGGAUGACUCAAGUUCUUCAUCACCAUGGGUUGAGACAUGAGGAAGGUUAAGAGGUUCAAAGGAGUCACAAGGACUAUCCUCCAUCAUUGAAAUCUCCCCCUAAAUAGAGGACUUGGGAAAAAAGGUUUAUUUUCUGUGAAGGUGACAACUGCAGAGAUGUAAAAUUUUCUGGCUAAGGGAUUGUAACACUUGUAUCCUUUUUGAGUAGAUGAGUAAACCAAGGAAGACACAUUUUAUGGCUCGGGGGUCUAGCUUGUCUCUAUGAUGGUUGUGGACAUGAACAAAUGCAAUGCAUCAAAAUACACUAGGAGUGAGCCCAUAUGAGGUUCUAAAGUGUGGAUAGAAACUCUUAAGUAUCUCUACGGGGCUUUUGUUGUCUAACACUUGUGAGAGAAUUCUAUUUAUCAUGUAUGUGGCAGUAAGAACAGCUUCCCCCCAAUAGGACUUAGGAACAUUCCCUUGAAAGAGUAAGGCUCGGGUUGUGUUGAGUAAAUGCCCAUUUUUUCUCUCGGGUAUCCCAUUUUGUUGGGGUGUGUUAACACAUGAUGAGUCAUGGAGAAUGCCCUGUGAUUGAAAAUUGGGUGACAAAGUAUGGUUAAAGUAAUCUCUAGCAUUGUCUGUCUUAAAACUUUUUAUUUUAACCCCAAAUUGGUUUUGAACCAUUGAGUGGAAAUUAGGUAUAACAAUGCUAACAUCAGAUUUUUGUUUAAGAAGAAAGAUCCAUGUAAUCUGAGUGCAGUCAUCAAUUAAGGAUACAAACCAACGAGCCCCAUAAACAUUAGGUAUAGUCGAAGGACCCCAUAUGUCACUAAGAAUCAAAUGAAAAGGAUGAGAACUUCUUUUAUUGCUAAUAGGAAAAAAUUCACGAGUAUGUUUUGUCAAUUCACAAGUUUUGUAAUGAAACUUAGAAAUAUCUAAUCCUUGAAACAAAUGAGGAAACAUGACCUUUAAAACCCUAAAAGAUGGAUGACCUAGACGUAGGUGAUACAACCAAAUGGUAUCUUUAUUUAAGGAACUCUAAAAAGACACACAAAUUAUUACUAGUUUUCUGAGAUGAUUCAAGGUGAUAAAGACCGCUCAUUUCCUUAGCAAGUCCAAUCCUCCUUCCCGAGCCUUGUUCCUGAAAAACACAAUAAGAAUGGAAAAAAAUAGCAGAACAUUUAAGAUCAUGGGUAAGCUUUUGAAUGGAAACAAGGUUGGCCGACAAUUUUGGUACAUGGAGGACAUUUUUAAGAAUAAGGGUAGGUGUGAUAUAUAUGUCUCUGAAACCUGCAACGGUAACUAAAAAGCCAUUGGCCAUUGCAAUUUUCUUGUUACUUGGGUUUGAGGUAUAGGUAUGGAAAAGUUGAGAUUUGGAGGUCAUAUGGUCUGUGGCACCGAAGUCUAUUAUCCAAUAGUCAUUAUAAACCUUGUGUGAGGCAUUUAUGCAAAAUGAGAGUGAAGGUGUACCUGAAUUUUCCAACAUCUUCCACGAAAAAAAAAACCUGAUCUCUUGGGAAUUAAGGUAGAUCGCGAAACAAAAAAACCAGCAACAAUGAAGGUUGGUAAAAGAACACGUGAAUAAAAAAAAUCUAACUAUGAAGGCCAGAAAAAUGGCGAUGAAGGCCAGAAUGAUGCCCAGGUCUUAAAAACCUACUGCUCUGAUACCAUGACACGAAAUGUGGGAUGAAAAAUAAUAAGUUUUGUAUAUUAGAUUGACUAUAUACAUAGUUUAUAUUGGAUAUUAUAAGAGAAGAAAUAGGAAACAAGAGACAUAAUAGGAAACUAACUUAUUCCUAAAUCAUAAAACUAUCUAUUUACAAAAAUAGGAAACUAACAUAAUAGGAAAAUAAUUCUCCUAUUCUAUUUACAGCUCAAUUACAACCUAUUUAUAGCUCAACAUUAAGUUAUAAAACUAUUUUAUAUUCUAAAGAAAAAAAAAAUCUAUUUUCAAAAACAAUAUCUAUAUAAGCAUUUUUCUUUUAAGUAUGAUUUUAAAAUGUUUUUCCAUGAGUCUAAUUGUUGCUAGGAUUUUGACCAAUAAACAAAUAUGUGUGACUUUCCUCGUCAUUGUAAUUUAUAUUUGGGAAAAAAAUGGGGAUUUCAUCAAAAUAUGAAACUUAUGUAACAAUUAUUAGCAACCUAAAUAUAAAUAAAACUAAAACGGAGAAUUUACUUGUUUAUGGAAUAAAUAGUUGAAAAUUUUAUAAGCAUUGAGGAUGGUCAUAAAUCAUGUUGUAAUUAAUAAAAGCAUUUCUAGGUUAUGGAACUUGGGUGGCAAAUUGGUAGAUUUCUAGCCAAACUAGUAUUUGUCUCUAUAAUAAAAUCUCUUAUCAUAAAGGGUAAUGAUACUUUAGAAAGGUCAACUUCAAAUUGGGCCUUUAGAAGCAAUUAAGAUAUUUACAUUAUUUUAUUGCAUGUAUACUUGACAUGACAUAAUGAAAUUUUAUUUAAACAUGCAAUUCAACACAUUUUUAAUUUACAUUCUAUUUGACCUUAAUUUAAUGGCACCGAACGAAACUAAGAAUCAUUCUAUAAUUUCCAUUUACUUCAUCUUUGUUUUCUUUGACAAUUGAUUGUAGCUCACUGCAUGUUUUAUUGUACUUUAUAAUGGACAGAUUUGAGUCAGAGUUUAUUCAAGAAAUCAUUGGUGAGAUUCGAAGAUUAACUCCUAAGUUGGUACAUGUUGGUGAGAACAUAGUUGGAAUGGAUGAAAAUUUGAAAGAGGUGGAGUUAUUGAUAAACGCCCAAUCAAAUGGAGUGAGCAUGGUUGGGAUUUAUGGGAUUGGUGGGAUUGGUAAAACUACCAUUGCCAAGGUUGUUUACAAUGAUAUGUUAGAUCAAUUUCAACGUCACAGCUUUCUUGAAAAUGUGAGGGAGAAAUCUAAAGAUGAUCAUGGUUUGCUUGAAUUACAAAAAAAACUUCUUUGUGAUAUCCUAAUGGAGAAAAAUCUGAAGUUAAGAAAUAUUAAUGACGGUAUCAAAAUGGUAAAGAGGAAGUGUCGCAUUGAAAAGGUUCUCAUUGUUCUUGAUGAUGUAGAUUGUCAAAAACAAUUAAAAUUCUUAGCUCCUAAUUCUGAAUGUUUUCAUCAAGGAAGCAUAAUCAUCGUGACCACGAGAAAUAAACGUUGCCUAGAUGUACAUAAGUCAUAUUCAUCAUAUGAGGCUAAGGGAUUAGCACACACGCAAGCUAAGGAACUCUUUUGUUGGAAUGCCUUUCAGCAAGACCAUCCCGAGUAUGAGGACCUCUCUAAUUGUAUACUAGAUUAUGCUAAAGGCCUUCCAUUGGCUCUUGUAGUUUUGGGUUCUUUUCUCUAUCAAAGGGAUGUGGAUUACUGGGAAAGCACACUGCAUAAACUAAAAACAAACCCUCUUGAGGAUAUUCAAAAGGUACUCCAGAUAAGUUAUGAUGGACUAGAUAAUAAAUGGAAGGAGUUGUUUCUUGAUAUUGCAUGUUUCUUCAGAAAUGAGGAUAAAAAAGUUGUUACAAGAAUACUAGAAGGUUGCAAAUUCCAUCCUAAGUCUGGACUAACGGUUCUUCAUGAGAGGUGUCUUAUUUCUAUAACAGACGACACCAUAAGGAUGCAUGACUUGUUACAAGAAAUGGGUUGGGCAAUUGUUCGCCAAAAUUUUCCAGAACAUCCUGAAGAAUGGAGCAGAUUGUGGGAAUUACAGGAUAUUAAAAGUGUUUUACCACAAAAUAAGGUAGGAGAAAAAUACAUGAACUUACUUGAGAUCUAAAGACAUAUAAAAGAUUCAACAAGAAUUAUUUUUAUUAUUAUUAUAGUUUUGAGUAUCUUAUCUAUAUAAUUUUAGUGAAUCCCUAUGCAUCUUAUAUUGCUUAUUCUCAAUGCUUGUUUUCAGGGGACAAAAAACAUAGAGGGGAUAUCCAUAAAUCGGUCUUGGGAUAGUAAAAAACGUAUACAACUUACUGCUGAAGCUUUCAGAAAGAUGAAUCGACUUAGAUUGCUCAAAGUUAAAGGCGAUAUGGUGCAGCUUUCCUAAGACUUUGAAUUGCCUUGUCAUGAUUUAGUAUAUUUUCAUUGGGAUAACUACCCUUUGGAAUAUUUGCCAUCAAAUUUUCAUGUAGAAAAUCCUGUUGAACUUAACCUCUGGUACAGCAACAUAGAACAUCUUUGGGAAGGAAACAUGGUAUUGCUAUUAUUUAGUUAUAUUUUUGCUCUAGACUAAUUUUAAAGUCUUUUGAAGUUUACUUAUUGAAACGAAUUUUCUUCUGUUACAGCCUGCUAAAAAGUUAAAAGUCACUGAUCUUAGUUAUUCCAGGCAUCUGGUUGACAUUUCAAACAUCUCAAGUAUGCAAAAUUUGGAGACUCUAAUUCUAAAAGGUUGUACAAGGUUACUUAAGUGUUUCACCCAUGCUUAAUGUUAUUAUUAGUCAUGAACUAACUGUUUUCUUGAAUAUAAUAGGAUGCAAGAGACUUGAGAGUCUUCCAAGGAACUUUCAUAAGCUGGAAUGCCUUCAAACACUCUCUUGUGAUGGCUGUUCAAACUUAAAAGUUUUCCGAAGAUCAAGGAAGAAAUGAGAAGUCUAAGAAAGCUUAAUUUAAGUCAUACAAGUAUAAUGGAAUUAACAUCAUCAAUUAGGCAUCUAAAUGGGCUUGAAGAGUUGGACUUAAGUAAUUGCAAAAACCUUUUGAGUCUUCCGGACAGUAUUGGUAGUUUGAACUCUCUUCAAACUCUCGAUCUAGUUGAGUGUUCAAAACUAGUGGGUUUUACAAAUAUCAAUAUUGGAAGUCUAAAAGCUCUUGAAUAUUUGGAUUUGUCAUGGUGUGAGAACCUUGAGAGUCUUCCAAAUAGUAUUGGUAGUUUGAGCUCUCUUCAAACUCUUUUAUUGAUAGGGUGUUCAAAAUUGAAGGGCUUUCCAGAUAUCAAUUUUGGAAGUCUAAAAGCUCUUGAAUUGUUAGAUUUCUCACACUGCAGAAACCUUGAGAGUCUUCCUGUGAGCAUUUACAAUUUGAGCUCUCUCAAAACUUUGGGGAUUACAAAUUGUCCAAAACUCGAGGAAAUGUUAGAGAUUAAAUUAGGGGUUGAUUGGCCAUUUUCACCUCUAACCUGUCACAUUUCAAAUUCAGCAAUAACCUGGUAUGAUGACUGGCAUGACUGCUUUUCCUCAUUAGAAGCAUUAAACCCACAGUGCCCCCUGUCAUCACUGGUAGAAUUAUCUGUAAGAAAGUUUUAUGGCAUGGAAGAAGACAUCCUCAGUGGCAGUUUCCACCUAUCCUCAUUGCAAAUAUUAUCUCUAGGGAACUUCCCUAGCGUGGCAGAAGGAAUCCUCGAUAAGAUUUUCCAUCUAUCCUCGUUGGUAAAAUUAUCUCUUACUAAAUGCAAGCCAACGGAAGAAGGAAUCCCUGGUGAUAUUUGGAAC